rnacentral:rRNA from 1 species
UACGAAGGGGGCUAGCGUUGCUCGGAAUCACUGGGCGUAAAGGGCGCGUAGGCGGCCAUUCAAGUCAGGGGUGAAAGCCUGUGGCUCAACCACAGAAUUGCCUUUGAUACUGGAGAGCUCGAGUCCGGAAGAGGUGAGUGGAACUGCGAGUGUAGAGGUGAAAUUCGUAGAUAUUCGCAAGAACACCAGUGGCGAAGGCGGCUCACUGGUCCGGUACUGACGCUGAGGCGCGAAAGCGUGGGGAGCAAACAGG